rnacentral:lncRNA from 1 species
AUUUCUCAUACAUGGUCAUGUCGAGCCUUUUAAGCUCCUUAUUAUCCUUGACCAUCAUCAAAUAAUGAUCAUAGACUAACUGCCCAUCGUGCAUCUCGUAUGCUGUAUGACUAUGAUCAUCUCACAAUAUUUGUAGAUGAAUCAAUAUAUCGUUGGUAGUGAACAUGUGCUCAUACAUACGUUGAAGUUCAUCUAACAUGGACUUCAACAUAUAGCACCUAUCUUUAUUAUUAUUAUCCAUCCACUCAUCAAGUAUAGCUCAUUAACUUUGGAUUGGACAGACUAUUAACAUUAGAAUAAUUUGGUAGAGAGCAUUGCUUAAUUUUUUAAAAUUAAGAAUGAUUCUUAAGUUUGUGAGCCAAUCUAUGUAAUUGGUUUUGGUUAAAUGGUUGAUAUCUAGGAUUCAAGCUAAAUGGUUGGAACCUGAUACAAUAAAUAAUAGAGAACAAAGAUUCUAGUUGGAUGUUUGUACUUAUUUCAUAAUUUACUCUAGAGACUUUUAGAUACAAAAAAACUACUCAUUAUUUUAUUAGAUCUCCCACACUCUUCGAGUGGAGAAACAAAAAUUCUAAUGCGAUAACUAAAUUUUUAGUGGGC